rnacentral:rRNA from 1 species
GCCUAAAGCGUCCGUAGCCGGCUCUGUAAGUUUUCGGUUAAAUCCAUAUGCUCAACAUAUGGGCCGUCGGGAAUACUGCAUAGCUAGGGAGUGGGAGAGGUAGACGGUACUCCGUAGGAAGGGGUAAAAUCCUUUGAUCUAUGGAUGACCACCAGUGGCGAAGGCGGUCUACCAGAACACGUUCGACGGUGAGGGAUGAAAGCUGGGGGAGCAAACCGGAUUAGAUACCCGGGUAGUCCCAGCUGUAAACUAUGCAAACUCAGUGAUGCAUUGGCUUGUGGCCAGUGCAGUGCCGCAGAGAAGUCGUUAAGUUUGCCGCCUGGGAAGUACGUACGCAAGUAUGAAACUUAAAGGAAUUGGCGGGGGAGCACCACAAGGGGUGAAGCCUGCGGUUCAAUUGGAGUCAACGCCAGAAAUCUUACCCGGAGAGACAGCAGGAUGAAGGUCAAGUUGAAGCCUUUACCAGACAAGCUGAGAAGUGGUGCAUGGCCGUCGCCAGCUCGUGCCGUGAGGUGUCCUGUUAAGUCAGGUAACGAGCGAGAUCCUUGCCUCUAGUUGCCACCAUUACUCUCAGGAGUAGUGGGGCGAAUUAGCGGGACUGCCGUAGUUAAUACGGAGGAAGGAGAGGGCCACGGCAGGUCAGUAUGCCCCGAA